rnacentral:rRNA from 1 species
CCUAACACAUGCAAGUCGAACGGUAACAGGAAGAAGCUUGCUUCUUUGCUGACGAGUGGCGGACGGGUGAGUAAUGUCUGGGAAACUGCCUGAUGGAGGGGGAUAACUACUGGAAACGGUAGCUAAUACCGCAUAACGUCGCAAGACCAAAGAGGGGGACCUUCGGGCCUCUUGCCAUCGGAUGUGCCCAGAUGGGAUUAGCUAGUAGGUGGGGUAACGGCUCACCUAGGCGACGAUCCCUAGCUGGUCUGAGAGGAUGACCAGCCACACUGGAACUGAGACACGGUCCAGACUCCUACGGGAGGCAGCAGUGGGGAAUAUUGCACAAUGGGCGCAAGCCUGAUGCAGCCAUGCCGCGUGUAUGAAGAAGGCCUUCGGGUUGUAAAGUACUUUCAGCGGGGAGGAAGGGAGUAAAGUUAAUACCUUUGCUCAUUGACGUUACCCGCAGAAGAAGCACCGGCUAACUCCGUGCCAGCAGUCGCGGUAAUACGGAGGGUGCAAGCGUUAAUCGGAAUUACUGGGCGUAAAG